rnacentral:rRNA from 1 species
UGGGGAAUAUUGCACAAUGGGCGCAAGCCUGAUGCAGCGACGCCGCGUGGGGGAUGACGGCCUUCGGGUUGUAAACUCCUUUCGCCAGGGACGAAGCGUUUUGUGACGGUACCUGGAGAAGAAGCACCGGCUAACUACGUGCCAGCAGCCGCGGUAAUACGUAGGGUGCAAGCGUUGUCCGGAAUUACUGGGCGUAAAGAGCUCGUAGGUGGUUUGUCACGUCGUCUGUGAAAUUCCACAGCUUAACUGUGGGCGUGCAGGCGAUACGGGCUGACUUGAGUACUGUAGGGGUAACUGGAAUUCCUGGUGUAGCGGUGAAAUGCGCAGAUAUCAGGAGGAGCACCGAUGGCGAAGGCAGGUUACUGGGCAGUUACUGACGCUGAGGAGCGAAAGCAUGGGUAGCAAACAGGAUUAGAUACCCUGGUAGUCCAUGCCGUAAACGGUGGGCGCUAGGUGUAGGGGCCUUUUGGGGCUUCUGUGCCGUAGCUAACGCAUUAAGCGCCCCGCCUGGGGAGUACGGCCGCAAGGCUA